rnacentral:tRNA from 1 species
GCCUCUAUAGUUUAGUGGUAAAACACAUCCAUGGUAAGGAUGCGUCCUCAGUUCGACUCUGGGUGGAGGCA